GCAGAGAUGGCUCAGAGGUUAAGAGCACUGGCUGCUCUUCCAGAGGUCCUGAGUUCAAUUCCCAGCAACUACA
rnacentral:tRNA from 2 species